GGGCGCGGCAGUCGGACUACGGGAGAUGAGUUUCGUAGUCGAGAGGGAAACAGCCCAGACCCACAGCUAAGGUCCUCGAAUGCAGGCUCAGUGGCAAACGAGGUGGGAGUGUACAGACAGCCAGGAGGUUGGCUCAGAAGCAGCCACCCUUUAAAGAGUGCGUAAUAGCUCACUGGUCAAACGCUCCUGCGCGGAUAAUGUAACGGGGCUAAGCCUGCUACCGAAGCUUGGGGUGCCCGCGAGGGCGCAGUAGGGGAGCGUUCUGGGAGCGGAGAAGCACGUCUGGCAAGGGCGUGUGGAGCGACCAGAAGUGAGAAUGCUGGCAUGAGUAGCGAGAAACAUGUGAGAACCAUGUUCGCCGGAAGUCUAAGGGUUCCGACGGAAGGUCAGUCCGCGUCGGGUUAGUCGGGCCUAAGCCGAGGCUGAGAAGCGUAGGCGAUGGACAACAGGUGAAUAAUCCUGUACCACCUGGAGGGAGCGAAGGAGGGACGCCGCGGGGUAGCUCAGCCGCCGCAGUGGAUGGCGGUGCGAAGCGAGAUAGCCGAUGAAGGGGUAGGGAAAGCCGCCCUGGAGGUGAAGGCGUGAGCGCGGAGCCUACGGGCCACAAGUGAGCGAGCCAGACGGCCGAGAAAAGCUUCUAAGUGAUGAACUCCGGGUGACCGUACCGCAAACCGACACAGGUAGACGGGUAGAGGAUACCAAGGCGAACGGGAGAACCCUCGUUAAGGAACUAGGCAAAAUGGCCCCGUAACUUCGGGAGAAGGGGCGCCCCCUGCUGGGGGGCCGCAGUGAAAGGGCUCUGCCGACUGUUUAACAAAGCACAGGUCUCUGCGAACGCGUAAGCGGACGUAUAGGGGCUGACGCCUGCCCAGUGCCGGAAGGUUAAGGGGACGGGUUAGCGCAAGCGAAGCUCGGAACCGAAGCCCCGGUGAACGGCGGCCGUAACUAUAACGGUCCUAAGGUAGCGAAAUUCCUUGUCGGGUAAGUUCCGACCCGCACGAAUGGCGUAACGAGCGGAGCACUGUCUCAACGAGGGGCCCGGCGAAAUCGAAAUACGUGUGAAGAUGCGCGUUACCCGCAGCAGGACAAAAAGACCCCGUGGAGCUUUACUACAACUUGCUAUGGCGUUAGGGCUUGGCUUGUGCAGGAUAGCUGGGAGGCAGAGAAGCUGGGACGACAGUCUCGGUGGAGCCAAAGGUGAGAUACCAGCCUGGCGAAGUCUUGGCCCUAACCGUACACCGUGAACCGGGUACGGGACAGUGGCAGGCGGGUAGUUUGACUGGGGCGGUCGCCUCCGAAAGGGUAACGGAGGCGCCCAAAGGUGCCCUCAGGGUGAAUGGAAACCACCCAAAGAGUGUAAAGGCAGAAGGGCGCUUGACUGCGAGGCCUACGAGCCGAGCAGAGCCGAAAGGCGGGCUUAGUGAUCCCACGGUAC
rnacentral:rRNA from 1 species